rnacentral:rRNA from 1 species
CCUACGGGUGGCAGCAGUGGGGAAUAUUGGGCAAUGGAGGAAACUCUGACCCAGCAAUGCCGCGUGAAUGAAGAAGGUCUUCGGAUUGUAAAGUUCUUUAGUCAGGGAAGAAUAAAAUGACGGUACCUGAAGAAUAAGCUCCGGCUAACUACGUGCCAGCAGCCGCGGUAAUACGUAGGGAGCAAGCGUUGUUCGGAAUGACUGGGCGUAAAGGGUGCGUAGGCGGUUAUACAAGUUAGAUGUGAAAACUAUGGGCUCAACCCAUAGCCUGCAUUUGAAACUGUACUUCUUGAGUGCUGGAGAGGCAAUCGGAAUUCCGUGUGUAGCGGUGAAAUGCGUAGAUAUACGGAGGAACACCAGUGGCGAAGGCGGAUUGCUGGACAGUAACUGACGCUGAGGCGCGAAAGCGUGGGGAGCAAACAGGAUUAGAUACCCCAGUAGUC